rnacentral:rRNA from 1 species
UACGUAGGGUGCGAGCGUUAAUCGGAAUUACUGGGCGUAAAGCGUGCGCAGGCGGUGAUGUAAGACAGAUGUGAAAUCCCCGGGCUCAACCUGGGAACUGCAUUUGUGACUGCAUCGCUGGAGUGCGGCAGAGGGGGAUGGAAUUCCGCGUGUAGCAGUGAAAUGCGUAGAUAUCGAGAGGAACACCUGCGGCGAAGGCGGGUUGCUGGGCUGAUACUGACGCUGAGGCGCGAAAGCCAGGGGAGCGAACGGG